GUCGAGCGGUAACAGGGGUAGCUUGCUACCCGCUGACGAGCGGCGGACGGGUGAGUAAUGCAUAGGAAUCUGCCCGAUAGUGGGGGAUAACCUGGGGAAACCCAGGCUAAUACCGCAUACGUCCUACGGGAGAAAGGGGGCUUCGGCUCCCGCUAUUGGAUGAGCCUAUGUCGGAUUAGCUAGUUGGUAAGGUAAUGGCUUACCAAGGCAACGAUCCGUAGCUGGUCUGAGAGGAUGAUCAGCCACAUCGGGACUGAGACACGGCCCGAACUCCUACGGGAGGCAGCAGUGGGGAAUAUUGGACAAUGGGGGCAACCCUGAUCCAACCAUGCCGCGUGUGUGAAGAAGGCCCUCGGGUUGUAAAGCACUUUCAGCGAGGAAGAACGCCUAUCGGUUAAUACCCGGUAGGAAAGACAUCACUCGCAGAAGAAGCACCGGCUAACUCCGUGCCAGCAGCCGCGGUAAUACGGAGGGUGCAAGCGUUAAUCGGAAUUACUGGGCGUAAAGCGCGCGUAGGUGGCUUGAUAAGCCGGUUGUGAAAGCCCCGGGCUCAACCUGGGAACGGCAUCCGGAACUGUCAGGCUAGAGUGCAGGAGAGGAAGGUAGAAUUCCCGGUGUAGCGGUGAAAUGCGUAGAGAUCGGGAGGAAUACCAGUGGCGA
rnacentral:rRNA from 1 species